UUCGGAAUUAUUGGGCGUAAAGGGCGCGUAGGCGGUGCGGUAAGUCAUUUGUGAAAUCUCCUGGCUCAACUGGGAGCUUGCAGGCGAAACUGCCGUGCUGGAGUGUGGGAGAGGUGCGUGGAAUUCCUGGUGUAGCGGUGAAAUGCGUAGAUAUCAGGAGGAACACCUGUGGCGAAAGCGGCGCACUGGACCACAACUGACGCUGAGGCGCGAAAGCUAGGGGAGCAAACAGG
rnacentral:rRNA from 1 species